rnacentral:lncRNA from 1 species
GGUGAACCCAGCGAGCAGGAGCCAGUACGUAGCCAUGGCCCAAGCCUCUGCCUGCUGCUGGAGCAUGGCCAGGCCGUCGUCCUAGGGUUGCAGGCUGUGCGGGGGUCCUGGGUCCCACGGAGCCCUGGGAUCUGAGGGACAGGGAUGUUCCUUUUUCUCCCUUUGGAGGUGCAGCCAGUAGUUUGGCUUUACAGGAGGACUCUGUGAAAAGUCCAGUUCCCUAUUUUUAAUCAGGUUCGUUUUUCACCUGCUUAGAAAGUGGAACAUCUCCUGAAAGGUGACAAGUCGUGAUCAAAGGCAAGUCUCCAGGCAGAGAGUUGGCAGGUUUCCGAAGCAAAGGUUACUUAGAAGUGAAGGCUCCACUGCCAGCUUCCCCCCGCUGCAAAAUCUGACACUCCUCACCCUCGGGGUUCAGCAAGAUUCUCGGAAAGGCCUUUUCUGAUUCUAGGAGGUGCUGCAGCAGGAGCUGACUCGGCCAUUUCCUGGCCUCUUUAGUUGGAAGAUGACAGAAAGGCGGAAGCAGGGACUGCUAUUGUGAGGCCCAUGGCAGCCUCCCUGUAAAACAAAUUGGCAAAUUGUCACCUUCAGAGGGACCGCAGCUGGCCCCCUGAACAGCCCUCCUUGGCCUUUCCAGAGUGUACAUGAUUGUGUCCCAUGUCCAGGGAGAGGACAGAGCCACCAGGAGGGACAAGGUUGUGGAGGGAAACAUGGGCUUGUCAGGCAGACUGAAGAGGAGGAUCCUAGGAGACUUUUCUUUCCUGAGAAACCCAAAGAAAGCAACAGCAGAUCUGUAGGGUGUGGGGGAAGGAGGCAGGGGAAAUGUAUUUUCAGUAACAGAGACCUAAAGCAGAAACUAUUUGCAAACAGGUGACCUGCUCAAUUUCUCCUGUGAUCUUUCAUUUCUAGUGCUGGUUUUUCCCCCUCAUUAAAAAAACUCAAUUU